AAAUAUUCCAGAAGCUCCCACAUAGAGAAUCCAAGCUACAUGAAUUGGAUGGGUGGCUUAUACCUAGAACUUGGAACUUCACUCGUUUAAAAUAUUAUUAUAGUUAAACUAUUUGUAAUUUUUGAGGGGAUAUAUCGCCCAUCUAUGUAUGAAUUUUGAAUGAUUAUGAGAAGGAAAAACAUUUUGGUUAUGGUGUUAUGUAUGCUGGAUUUCC
rnacentral:lncRNA from 1 species